GUAAGUACAAAUACUGUAAAGUCCUACUAUAUCUAUAGGAAUAUUUGUCAUUGGAACUAUGAAUAUAUUGUGCAUCUUUGUGCCGGUCAUUCAAGGCAUAUGUUUUUGUGUGAAGAGCACAAUUUUCAGUAAAUAGUGGAGAAAAUGUAUAUUACUUAUUUGUGGACUGAAAUUAAGUGACUUUCUGUUUUAAGUGCAAUUAUAUUGUUUUACUUUUUUUUAGUUAUUACUAUUUAUCCUCUUUAAAAUUUGUUGCCAAAUCAUGGUGCCAGAUCAAGACGUGAUCCGAUGGGAAGACAUUUAGCAUGGAGAGAAGUGGGAUAUAUUGAAUUCCAGGUAUGGAGAAGCUUUAUUUAUGAACUCAAAAUUAAUCAGCGGUGUGACAGAGUUUCUCAACACAGAGAUGGAGUUGAAUGAGCUUCAGUCCCAGAGGGCAAAGACUGCUGAUGCUAGUCUCAUGGCAGCACAGCAGUUUCUUCACUACAGCUGACUUCACUUUCUACAAUUUAUCAUUCCUGCAGAGAGAUAAUACACAACACCCUUAGUGUUUCCUUGAACGGAUCAUUACAAUACUGUCACUGGCAAUGCUGCCGCUUCAUCCAGUUUAUGGGGAGAAGAACUGAAUGAUUUAGACCAAAACAGAUUUCUUGUGUAGUAAGAAGUACAUUUAUCAGUGUUGGUUUGCGAUGAUUAUUUAUCUUGAAGUUGCUAGA